rnacentral:rRNA from 1 species
UGGGGAAUUUUGGACGAAUUGGGCGAAAGCCUGAUCCAGCAAUGCCGCGUGUGUGAAGAAGGCCUUCGGGUUGUAAAGCACUUUUGUCCGGAAAGAAAUCCUUGGCUCUAAUACAGUCGGGGGAUGACGGUACCGGAAGAAUAAGCACCGGCUAACUACGUGCCAGCAGCCGCGGUAAUACGUAGGGUGCAAGCGUUAAUCGGAAUUACUGGGCGUAAAGCGUGCGCAGGCGGUUUGCUAAGACCGAUGUGAAAUCCCCGGGCGUCAACCUGGGAACUGCAUUGGUGAUCUGGCAGGCUAGAGUAUGGCAGAGGGGGGUAGAAUUCCACGUGUAGCAGUGAAAUGCGUAGAGAUGUGGAGGAAUACCGAUGGCGAAGGCAGCCCCCUGGG